GCCGGGCAUGGUGGUGUGUGCCUGUAAUCCCAGCUACUCGGGAGGCUGAGGCAGGAGAAUCGCUUGAACCUGGGAGGUGGAGGUUGCAGUGAGCCUAGAUUGUACUACUGCACUCCAGUCUGGGUGACAGAGCAAGACUCUGUCUCAGAAAAAAAAAAAAAAAAAGAAUGCCAUUUUUUUUUUUUUUUGAGGCGGAGUUUCGCUCUUCUUACCUAGGCUGGAGUGCAAUGGCGCGAUCUCGGCUCACCGCAACCUCCGCCUCCCGGGUUCAGGCAAUUCUCCUGCCUCAG
rnacentral:SRP_RNA from 1 species